AUAGGGUAAUUGUUAAAGGCUCACCAGGCACGAAAGUCCUGGAUGAGAAUCUCUUUAAUUGCUGGAACACCCACAAAAGUGAACCACCUUACGUAACCGUAAGGGGACGAAAGUCAGAAACAACGGUUCACCUGUCCUACGCUAACCAAUAACGCUAAGGGAUACUGACAAGGGGCAACCAGCAGCGAAGCCUGUUGUUAUUCAACAGGAACGUUCAACGGCCAUUCGAUGACCCGUAAUCUGAUUACGGCGAGAAGUAGGGUAGCAAGCUAAUGGCACCCGAAACAGGAGACACCUAAUCCCUAACCGGGAAUGGUGAUGAUAUGGUCUGACCACGGUUUAAUAGACCGUG
rnacentral:ribozyme from 1 species